AGUCCAUCAGAGUUAGAGGAAGUUUCCUUGCACGAAGGAGCCAAAAGAGAGCCAACGCUCUCCCCUGACUCCGUGGGUGCUUAGGCGCCGAAUUGCGGUGACCCGAACCCUCCUCCUGCACCUCUCAGAGGUCCUGGAGGAGAAGGCGAGCAGACAGCGAUCUCAACCGCAGGGGCGUGGCCAGCUGCCGGGGAUGGGGCAGAAAUUCGAGCCUCCUGCGCGAUGUCAGUGCUCCGCUGGCCACCGGCGGAUUCCCAUUUCCUGACGGGGACCAGUGCUCCAGGAGGGUGGCAGGACAGAGGAGGGACAGGCGGCCGGGGCGGCGGAGCUUCCAGGCCCCCCUGGAGGCCAGAAGAUAAAAGGAAAGCGAAGCGAACAGAGAGUUGGAGACCUCAUACCACCA